rnacentral:tRNA from 1 species
UUGCCUCGACACGGGAUCGAACCGUGGACCUUGUCAUUACUAGUGACACGCUCUACCACUGAGCCAUCGAGGCA